GAUGAACGCUGGCGGCGUGCCUAAUACAUGCAAGUCGAGCGAACAGACGAGGAGCUUGCUCCUCUGACGUUAGCGGCGGACGGGUGAGUAACACGUGGAUAACCUACCUAUAAGACUGGGGUAACUUCGGGAAACCGGAGCUAAUACCGGAUAAUAUAUUGAACCGCAUGGUUCAAUAGUGAAAGACGGUUUUGCUGUCACUUAUAGAUGGAUCCGCGCCGCAUUAGCUAGUUGGUAAGGUAACGGCUUACCAAGGCAACGAUGCGUAGCCGACCUGAGAGGGUGAUCGGCCACACUGGAACUGAGACACGGUCCAGACUCCUACGGGAGGCAGCAGUAGGGAAUCUUCCGCAAUGGGCGAAAGCCUGACGGAGCAACGCCGCGUGAGUGAUGAAGGUCUUCGGAUCGUAAAACUCUGUUAUUAGGGAAGAACAAAUGUGUAAGUAACUAUGCACGUCUUGACGGUACCGAAUCAGAAAGCCACGGCUAACUACGU
rnacentral:rRNA from 1 species